AUUGAACGCUGGCGGCAGGCCUAACACAUGCAAGUCGAGCGGAUGAAGGGAGCUUGCUCCUGGAUUCAGCGGCGGACGGGUGAGUAAUGCCCAGGAAUCUGCCUGGUAGUGGGGGAUAACGUCCGGAAACGGGCGCUAAUACCGCAUACGUCCUGAGGGAGAAAGUGGGGGAUCUUCGGACCUCACGCUAUCAUAUGAGCCUAGGUCGGAUUAGCUAGUUGGUGGGGUAAAGGCCUACCAAGGCGACGAUCCGUAACUGGUCUGAGAGGAUGAUCAGUCACACUGGAACUGAGACACGGUCCAGACUCCUACGGGAGGCAGCAGUGGGGAAUAUUGGACAAUGGGCGAAAGCAUGAUCCAGCAAUGCCGCGUGUGUGAAGAAGGUCUUCGGAUUGUAAAGCACUUUAAGUUGGGAGGAAGGGAAGUAAGUUAAUACCUUGCUGUUUUGACGUUAACAACAGAAUAAGCACCGGCUAACUUCGUG
rnacentral:rRNA from 1 species